CGCCCGGAAUUUCCUGGAUGCGCAGGCAGGGCGCUCGACGGAAUGCGUGCGCGAGACGCCGCCGGGCAUGCUCGCCAGCCUCAGCUCCACGUGGGCCACCUCCUCGCCCCUCCCGCUCCCGCCGGCCUCGCGCGUGGGGGGUGUUGACGUCGCCGCGACAGCGACGCGGGCGCGCGGGCGGGCGGUGGGCGAGUGACAGUGGCAGCGGGAGAGAGAUGUCACCCUCAGCUCGUUGUUUUCUUUUCUUUUUCCCUUCUGUUGGACUCGGCCUCCCUAUCGCCGCGCCUCCGCCUUCCCGUCCAUGUCACGCUUUGUUCGCUUCUUUUUCCUCCACCUCCAUCGUUUCUCCCCGUUUCGUCCCCCUUCUAUUCUGUCGGGUCGUCCCUCCGCGGCCGGACGACGGUUCUGCUGAAACAAGGCCAGAAAGUACGGAUCUUUCCUGAACCCGUAGGCUCUGACCUGGAACUGGGAGUUUGGCCAUUGCCUGAUUGGGGACAUUAAGGUGGGGGUUGUCCCCAGUGAGCUCCGCGCCGGUCCCUGCUGUUCUUCCAGUCAAAUACCUGUACCCUUCGAUGCUGAGAUCAAGGAACUAGGGAUACCAAUUAUCUCCAAGAUUCUCCUCUACCUUUCAAGGCUUCCUGAGAAUUUAGAUUCAUCAAACCUUGAUGACAGCUUGAUGUGGAUUUGGUCAGUCACCAGUGGUUUCUGCACAGCUUGAAAAAAACAUUUAUAUCAGCAGGGCGACAUCUUCAUUUUGUGGUAUCUGAGGCUCUCAAAUGGUUUCCAUGUAUAGUGAAUGGGAAAAUAAACAGCAGAUAUAGCUGUGUAGGUGACUAAUUGCUAGUCUAAUCUAUAUAACAUCGUUGAUGACAUUUCCAUCCACAAUUGCAUUUUGCUGAAUUAAAGGACAGUGGAGCAUAUCUGACCUUCCUCAAGUGCAGGGAGAAGGCUCUUGACCCUCCAGAUUAUAAACAUGGGUUGGUUGAGUAAAAUAUUUAAAGGUUCAGUAAAUAGAGUUUCAAGAGGACAUUAUAAUGGGAACUCCCAUGAAGGCUAUUCCACCCAGCACACUAAAUCAUAUGGUGCGCAGGGAAAUGAGGACGAAGACAUGGAUCAUGCUAUUGCAUUAUCCUUAUCAGAGGAAGAUCAAUGGAAGGGAAAGGCCAUUGAUACAGAGCACCACUUAGAUGAAGAUGAACAACUUGCACGGGCUCUGCAAGAAAAUACCGGUCGUACUCUAGAUGAAGACGAACAGCUUGCACGGGCUUUGCAAGAAAGUAUGAACGAUGGACCUCCUCCUCGUCGGAAUAUUCCGAUUGAAGAUGUUCACUCAGGAAGUGCUCCAGCAAGUAGCUUGCCCCCAAAUGUUUUCCCCACAAGUGGAUUGAGGGUUUGUGCUGGAUGCAAAACUCCAAUUGGUCAUGGACGGUUUCUCAGUUGUAUGGACUCUGUUUGGCACCCCCAGUGCUUCAGGUGUCAUGCUUGCGAUAGACCAAUAUCAGAGUAUGAGGUAUAAAAUCGAGAACGUCCCUGACAUAACAUCCUUCAACAUCACAAGAUAAUUAAUGCAAACCUUUCUUUUUGGAAGUUUGCUGUUCAUGAAGACCAUGCGUACCACAGGUCCUGCUACAAGGAGCGGUUCCAUCCUAAAUGUGAUGUUUGCAAUAGCUUUAUUCCCACAAAUAAAAAUGGCCUCAUUGAGUACCGGGCUCAUCCUUUCUGGAUGCAGAAGUAUUGCCCUUCCCAUGAAAAUGAUGGUACACCUAGGUGCUGCAGUUGUGAGCGAAUGGAGCCAAAGCAUAGUCAAUAUAUAGCAUUAGAUGAUGGCCGGAGACUCUGCUUGGAGUGUCUGCAUACUGCAAUUAUGGACACCAAUGAGUGCCAGCCACUAUACAUUGAUAUUCAAGAAUUUUACGAGGGUAUGAACAUGAAAGUAGAACAACAAGUUCCCUUGCUUUUGGUUGAGCGACAAGCUUUAAAUGAAGCUAUGGAAGCAGAGAAAAUGGGACACCACCUUCCUGAAACCAGAGGUCUCUGCCUAUCUGAAGAACAGAUUGUCAAAACUAUAUUAAAAAGACCAAUGAUUGGACCAGGCAACAAAAUCAUAGAUAUGAUCACAGGACCUUACAAACUCGUUCGGCGAUGUGAAGUGACUGCAAUUCUUAUACUGUAUGGGUUGCCAAGGCUGCUAACUGGCUCAAUUCUAGCUCAUGAGAUGAUGCAUGCCUACCUACGACUUAAAGGAUACCGAACCCUGACUCCAGAGGUUGAAGAAGGCAUCUGUCAGGUUCUAGCUCAUCUGUGGCUUGAGUCAGAAAUCACAUCAGGUUCCGCUAGCAUGGCAACCACCUUAGCAGCGUCAUCAUCCUCUUCAACAUCCUCAUCAAAAAAAGGUGCAAAGACAGAAUUUGAAAAGAGACUUGGCGAGUUUUUCAAGCACCAGAUUGAGACAGAUUCUUCCAUGGCCUACGGAGAUGGGUUUCGAGCAGGCAUGCGAGCUGUUGAGCGGUAUGGCUUGAGAAGUACCCUUGAUCAUAUCAAGCUGACGGGGUCUUUUCCGUACUGAAGCUGGACUUUUCCCUCAAGUUCAAACUUGGGUAUAGAUUUUUGAGAACUCGUGGUUCCAGUUACAAAUACCAAAGGGUAUAUAUCAUCUACAGUACACGAAGUAUAGGCGAGAAAAGAAAUAAGGAUUUAGUUAUAUGGUCCAUUGCAAAAAAAAUAUUUAUAUUUUUUCCAUUUUAGACAACUAUAAUUGCACCGUUCACACAUGAAUUUAAGUGAUCUUUAGCUUUGACCAGCCAUGUAGAAUGCUAUCACUUAAUGCAAAAGAAAGUCGAACAUAUGCGCUUCCUGUAUUUGAAGUGCAAGUGCUUGCAUGCUCUGCUCUUUUCAGUUUCUUGCUUUUCUUUGUGUCGCGGUAGAUUCCAAUGUUUCGAUAUUUUGUUGGUUUACUGUUACGCUUCAGCUUAGAUUUUUUUCCGAAACAGAUUUGUCAGUUGAAGUCAGUAGGUGUUUUUUCCCUCAUAAUGGUUGUAUGAUGAUACCAAGUUACCAACUUUAUGCUGAAUUCUUGUAAGAGUAAAAUGCACUGUGGGUCCUUAAACUAGUUCUCCUGUUCUGUUUAGGUCCAUGAACUUUGAAAAUGUAUUUCUAGGUCCAGGAUCUAUUUAAGUGAGCCAUUUGAGGUCCAAAACGCCCUUGACCUGCUUUGACUGUCUACGUGGACCGCCAGACCGGCUCUGACGUGGACAUGGCAUCUGACGGAGGCGCAAAAAAAUUGCAAGUACACCCUUCCCUGCUAUAGUAAUGUGUAAUGGCUCCCUUUUAUUUAUCAUCCCCCCUCUGACGGCAAUCUCAUCCUCUAUUCUCUCGUGUUCUUCUCCCCGCUCUCUGCGCCUACCCCUGAGGCCCAGAUUCAUGGCAUGGCUCGCGAAUCCAGUGCAUCGGCGUCGGAGCAGUGGGGUGCGGAUGAGCUUCCGCUCAUCUUUGCACUGAUUGUGGGCUCCGGCAAGUGGUGCGGCGCAGAUUGAAGCAGGAAUGGAGCUUUGGGAAGGUGUUCUACUGCUGCCCGUUGCACAAGCAUGAUGGAAGUGGAUGCCCUUUUUGGUUCUGGGAAGAAGAUUACGUUGUCAAGCUAAGGAGUCUUGGGUUGCUGAAAGGAGGCAGUUCAGCGUAGCUGGAAGGCCCUAUUGUAGCCCCAAGGAUGGAGUUUCUGCAUGCUAGAGAAGGAGAAUGGAAGAAGAAGAAUGCCACUGAAAUAGUUAGGUUGCUAAAGUCAAUAUGUGUUGUAUGUGUAUCUAUUCUGUGUGUGCAAUGUGUGAUGCUGUUGCUCUUAGUGUUUAAGAACUGAACAUGGAAUGUAUGGAAGCUAUUAGCAUGUGUGAACUGAGCAUGAAAUGUAUGGAAUUUGAAGUCUU